UGAUCCUAAUUGUCCGUCCUAUAAAGCCACUACGGAGCGGCCUAUCAUAUCACUUUUGCAAUCGUCUCCGAAACUACUAGAGCGGAAAAGUGAAGCCAGUUCUUUUGGAUUGCCAGCCAUCAUGAAUGCAUCUCACCUCCUGUUGACUUUGGUUGUCUUGGCUGCUCUGUUCCAGGCUGCAGAUGCUCAAAAUAGAAUUUGUACAUUCAUACAAAAUCUAUUCGACCGAAAUUGUGACAGUCCUCUAGACAAUCUGUUCUGCAGACUACUCAGCUUUAUCCUGAUGGGGUUUUGUGCACCUGACGAUCCACCACCAACGGAAUAAGACUGACACAAAGUUAGCAUGCCAAGCAAGUAUUGAAUACAGUAAGCCGACUCCAGAAUGUUGGCAGUUGAGACCCACCCUUAAGGGAGGUUCCAGAGUUCUGAAAGCUGGAGGAGUAACCUGUACUUCACAAACUGCUUGUCUUCAUCCUGCUCCUUUACAACGAAGAAAAUAUGAUUCGUGAAACUUUCAUCGAUUACGGGAACGGCACUAAUAAAUAUUAAAAAGUUCUUCAGAGAAAAAA